rnacentral:lncRNA from 1 species
CACAGAAAAAGCAAUUAUAGGAGGUUCCUGUCAUGGCUCAGCAGGAAUGAAUCUGACUAACAUCCAUGAGGAUGUGGGUUCGAUCCCUGGCCUCACUCAGUGGGUUAAGGAUCCUGCAUUGCUGUGAGCUGUGGUGUAGGUUCCAGAUGCCCUUGGAUCUGGGGUUGUGGCUGUGGCUGGUAGCUAUAGCUCUGAUUGGACCCGUGGAUUUGGAACUUCCAUAUGCCAGUGGUGCGGCCCUAAAAAGCAACAACAACAACAACAAAAAAAAAAAAAAAAAAAAAAAAAAAAAAAGAAGAAAAAGCAGUUAUAGUAAAAUGUAUUCUGUGAUUUAAUAAAAUUUCAUAAAUAUAAAAACCAUUUAAAAAAGGGAUGUCCUAAAAGAAAAAAAAGGGGGGGGGAGUUCCUUUUGUGACUCAAGGAAUUAAGAAUCCCAGUAAUUUACACGAGGAUACAAGUUCGAUCCCUGUCCUCACUCAGUGGAUUAAGGAUCUGGCAUUGCCGUGAGCUGCAGCAUAGGUUGCAGAUAUGGCUCAGAUCCCACGCUGCUGUGGCUGUGGCAUAGGCCUCAGCUGCAGCUCCAAUUAGACCCCUAGCCUGGGAACUUCCACAUGCUGUGGGUGUGGCCCUAAAAAGAAAAAAAAAUAAAAGAAGUGAUGCCCUUCCUUGAAUGUCUCUUGUCUCUUCUGUCUUCAGGUUCUUGGUCCUGCUGUUACCCUGAUGCCACCAUCUUCCUCCUCGACUUUCCCCAGCCCAUAUUCCAAAGAAAUGGAAUUCUAGCCUGUAUCGAUACAGCUGGCACACCAGGAAAGCCUGGUUUUCCUAGGGAAACACAACAGAAGUUGCUGCAGAUGUGGGUUCCUGAGUCCACUGUGGGACCAACUCCACAGACAUCUCUGGUGGCAGUAGGGGGACUUCUGAGAAUGCUUCAGGCCCAGACACCUUCCAGCAAGGGAUGGUGAUAGCCAGGAAAAGAGCCUGGCCUGUGCUAGAAGUACGGGAGUAUGUCCUCAGAGGCCCCAGACUGUCGAUAAAAUUUGCUGAUAACCUGGAUGAGAGCCUUUGCCUGAGCAUGAGUUACUCACGGGCUGUCCGCCUUCUGUCUGCUUCUGGAUCCUGCAGCAGCUCCUGCACAAGCUGAGCAUCUCCCCAGCUGCCACGUCAGCCUUAGCU